AUACUUGAGAAUACGGCCAUGGCAUUUCGAUCUCAGUUGCUUGUGCCGGCCACCCGAGACCGCCGCCUUUUCUCACCGUUUCUCUCUUUGAUAUCUCUUCUUUUUCCGACAGCUCCAACUUCUAGGGAGUUCAGUUGGCUUCGAGUUUGAGCUUUGAACUCAAAGCAUCAAACAAGUAGCUCAACGAACAGCCGCAUGUAAUUGCCACAAAGCGCACAGCAGUUUGCGGAGAAAGAAGACAGAGAGCGGAAGCAAUGUCCGUACUUAUUGUAACCAGUCUGGGAGACAUUGUGAUCGACCUACGCACCGACAUGUGCCCCUUGACCUCCAAGAAUUUCUUGAAGCUCUGUAAAAUUAAAUUCUACAACACAUUAUACAGAAGGACUUAACUGCUCAGACUGGUGACCCCACUGACUUUUCCAUCCAAUGACAAUCAAGUGCCCAACUUGUCUUUCUUGUUCAAGUUUAUUUCCAUAAUUCUUAAAUCUAACUUAUUUUAUUGUAAUUACCAUUGUAUAUGCGAAGUAGGCUGUGAAAACUUCAUUUCCAGCAUGGUUUGGUGUUCA